AAGAGGCAAAGAACUUAAAUAAAUUUUCACUAGAAGAACUUAUUAGUUUAUUGAUGACCUAUGAAAUGACGUGUAAGGCACAUGAUAAACUUGAUGAAUAUGAGAAUAACCUUCCAAAGAACAGGAAGGAUUUAGCACUUCGAACAAUAGAAUACCACUUGAUUGAUAACUCAAGUGAUGAUGAUGACUUUGAACUUCUCAC
rnacentral:lncRNA from 1 species